GAUAUUUUAAUGACAUUUCUAACGGCGUAUAAAUUUAUUAGGGUUUUUUUUUCUUUCUUUCUUUUUUUCUUUCUUUCUUUUUAUCGAUCACCUUCUUUUGUAAAAGUCAAACCGAUCGAGUACGAAUCAGAAAUGAUUUGUAAAUUGUGCUAAUGUCUCUCUCGCGUGGUGAUAUCUCUCACUUACUACGUGAAUGGGGUCGCUCAACGAUGCGUUUCCUCUUGAAGCAAAUUGAAUUUUUUAUUAAUCAUAUGAAGGCACGUAUAAUGUCGUUUUACUUUUCUAUUGAUUGAUAUUCCAACAUCGAAUUCUAAUGAACCAUUCUUAACCGGUAUUUUUGAAUUCGGCGAAACGGCGUAGCGUCUCAGACGCUAUCGAGCCAUUGUAUAUGCCCCACCCAAUACAGAAUUAUAUUUCUAUUUUUAUAAUUUUCGACCAGAGGAUUCCCAGUAAGUCUACGUUAUUUUUUCAAAUGUCUCUUAUAUAUUUUACUCGUCAAAAGUAUCUUUUCAAUCACGUGAAAGACUGCACAAGGAAGUUACAUUAUGCAGAUAACAGAAUAUUCUCUCAUUCCUCAAAUUUUUUAUUGGUGCAAGAUAUAUUGUGAAUGUAUAGUCUGAAGCAACGAAUAGCUGGGUAAAUUGAUCAAAACAUAAAAUGAAUUCAAAAUGUAAUCUUAAUAUAAACAGUGAUAAGAUAAUUGUCUGGUAUACAUUAUUUCAGAUCAGUCAUGGAUAUUUGUAAAUCUUUUUUCAGCUGUCGCUUGUAAGAUAACGUUUUUUUAUGUGACUUUGUUGACAGUCGGUCAACAGGGAGAUUGUUUAAAUCUCUUAAUAAAUAAACAAGUUGAAUUAAUUA